rnacentral:lncRNA from 1 species
GGCUGGUCUAGAUCCAUGCUGGUGGCAAACCAACUAUGUUGGUUGCAUCUCGCUGAUUUAGGUUUGAGCCUCACUCUUGACGUUGAAUUCUUCAUACUAGAAAGCCAUCCAGCUGGCUUAAGGAAUGUUGGCAGUUCUACAAAGCCGCCUGCCUGGGAUGAAAUAAUGCACAGAGGAAGCUGGAAAAUCACAAUAUGACUUCAAAUUGUGUCAGAGUGAUGUCAGACCUAACAAACAAAAAACAAAUUUUUAUCAUCAGGAAAAAGUCAUUUUUGCCAUAAUGAGAAAUUUACUGCCCACAAAAUUAGAUGAUUUCACAGUGUGUGGAAUGAUGCCCAUUCUAAGACAGUUUAUGCUUUUAUGAAUUCAAUAAAUCUUGAAAGAAUGUAAGUAGGACUGCAUGGAACCAAUUUAUGCAUAACUCUGCAUCAUAUAUAAUUGUUUUUGUUUACAUGAAAAGGGAGAUUGUUUACAAACUUUUGUGAACCUUGUAUGUAUUUACUGCUAAGAAAGGUAUAGGUUAUUAUUAUAAUUUUUAGGGCUGUAAUGAGUGUCAGAAUACUCGAAUAUCCACAAAUCUGACCAAAUGUUCGAGUACAGAUAUUCGUCAUUGUCGAGAUGGUUGGAUCGCGAUCUUUUUCAUUAAUACAUGCAAUGUUAAAAAUAUAAGUUGUUCCUGGUGAUCCGUGGUUCGAUCUGUGAAUCAUCGGGCCCGACUCGCAGAUUGGAUCAGAUCGCCACUUGUCCGACGAUCAACAGCCCUAAUAAUUUGAGGAGUGAACUUUUAAAACAUCAUCCCAAUUGCAAAGCAUUGAAUCAGACUCUAAAAUAAAGAUAUAUUUUUGUACUUUUUAGCUCACCGGAGUUUUUCCUGGUAAGCGUUUAUGAUCAUUGAAUGCCUGUCCUUUUUCAAGGAAUAGAGUGUCAGAGAUGGAGCACAUAAUGCCUUAACCUGCUCCAGGUUCUCUCCCCUUGACCCAUCAGUCUGCUCCAGGUUCUCUCCCCUUGACCCAUCAGUCUGCUCCAGGUUUUCUCCCCUUGACCCAUCAGUCUGCUCCAGGUUCUCUCCCCUUGACCCAUCAGUCUGCUCCAGGUUCUCUCCCCUUGACCCAUCAGUCUGCUCCAGGUUUUCUCCCCUGACCCAUCAGUCUGCUCCAGGUUCUCUCUCCUUGACCCAUCAGUCUGCUCCAGGUUCUCUCCCCUUGACCCAUUAGUUUGCUCCAGGUUCUCUCCCCUUGACCCAUCAGUCUGCUCCAGGUUCUCUCCCCUUGACCCAUCAGUCUGCUCCAGGUUCUCUCCCCUUGACCCAUCAGUCAGCAAUAUGCAGAUCUUGUAAUGGAUUCAAAUAGGAGAUUCAUAGAUUUUGGCCUCACCUUUUUGCAGAAGCACUAAAGUACUGGAACAUAAAGUUGACGAGAUCUUCACAACAAUUAUUAAAUGCAAAAUUCUUUUUAGUAACAUUCUGUAUCAAAAUUCUAAAAUGAUGGUAAUUUAUAUUGGUACUAAAAUGUAUGAAUAAAUGCACUGACAUCAUUGUCUUUCUACAUCAACAUAUUCCCUAUUAAAGCAUUCAAUCUGAAACCACCAGUUGGCACACCGAGGUUGAUCUGUAGCAUCUUGGCGUGAACUUUGCUGAAGUUUGUUCAAACGCAAUCAGUUAUUUUGAAGUUGCUGGAAUGAACUAUGCGCAAUUUAUCAUGAUCGGCUUAAUAGACAUUUUACCAAACAUGGUAUGUAGCAUCCCUGUAUGGCAAGGUCAAAAGGUGAAGGUAUUCCUCAGGUGGGCCACUUGGGCCUCUUGUCGUUUUAAAGAUCUUGUUUUAAUACGAUAUGUGUACAUCACCUUGUAAAAUGAUUUUCCAUGUAAUUAUGUAUCCCACACCACUCUGUGGUGGGAGACAUUGAUUUACUCCUGUCUGUGAGUGUGUUUAUAUCCGUCCGUCUGUCACAAAUCUUGUCUGUACUCUUUAAGUCAAAUCUUAUCCAGUCUUCACCAAACUCGAACAAAAUGUGUUUGCCAGUAAGUCCUCAGCCAAGUUUGAUAACUAGCCAAAUCGGCUCAGGCACUUCGGAAUUAUGGCCCCUGAAACAUUGCUUUUGAUAAUCAAAGCACUGAAAGUGUGAUUGUGCUGUAUCGAAGCACUGAAAGUGUGAUUUGGUUGUAUCAAAGUACUGAAAGUCUGAUAGGGUUGUUUUUGAUAAAGCACUGAAAGUCUGAUUGGAAAUUCAGAAUAUAUAGGAAGUAGGGUUUACACUCCAGCAUUUCUCAUCCAAUCUUGUACUACUAUUCAGAUGAUAUGGCAGUUGUUGGAGACAUGCACUUUUCUCACAAGCAGCUCUUGUUUAAUAUAUGAUUUUACAAAUUUUUACUUGAUGAAUAUAUUUUGUAUAUAUUGAUACAUGUAAUGUAUGAUUUACAUUAGAAUUUAAUUUACUUUCAAGUGUGUAUUGCAAUACACAGGUAAUUCUGUAAUAUAACCUGUAGUUGCGAACAUUUUUGGUGUUAUAUAUAGCAGCUGAGAAGUACUAAGUAAUUUUUAUCACAAGGAACAGCAAAUAUUUGUUGCUGUGAAAGGUUGAAAUUUAUUCUUUUGGCAGAAUGACACCAUGCAGAUACAGUAAAGUAUGGUUAAGAAGAAGUGUUUUGGUCAUUUGUGACUCGAGUUGACGCAUGUUGUUCCCAGGUAAAAUGAAAUAAAUUUGUAUCCUUCAUCAUUUUGAAGGUUGUAUAGUUUAAAAAGGAUUCUUGAAUAAUUUUGAACAGCGACCACAAACAUUGGAUGUAAUUUGGGACUUGUUAGAAAAAACUGAUUUUGUGGUAACGUUGAUAAAGUAUGCAAACUAGAAUCAGGUGUUAAUCUUUUAUUGUUAAAACUUUUUAUCAUGAAAACAUUUUUUACCAUUUUGUGUUCAUUGUUCAUUUACAUUAACCAUUAAAAUAUACUACUUA